rnacentral:tRNA from 1 species
GGGUAGGUUGAGCAGGUGGUGAGCUCCGCUGACUGUAGAUCAGCCGUCCUUCGACUGUGGGGGUUCGAUUCCCUCCCUGCCCACCA